rnacentral:lncRNA from 1 species
UGUACUUCCACUCAAGGCUUCCUGAUUUUGGAUUUACAUGAGCAAGAUGAAUCAUCUGAUGUAAAGAGGCUGCAAAAAUUACUGGUUGGAUCAAUCCAGGGUUUGGAUUGGCAGAGUGGUUUAGAGGAGGAUCCAAGGCGUACUUUUUUCUGGAGGUCCUCAAAACCUCUGUAGUUGAUGCCAGAAGGUGUCUCUUAAGGAUUUUUCUUCAAGACUUUGCAAAAUCCUAAAUCUGGCAUCUUCUGGAGGAAUAGCCUACUAGGUUCUGAGGUGCCUUGGGGUCACUCUGGGUACCAGGUGACCAUCAUCUCAUGCUGGUUUGCAGGCAAAUUGGGGGCACAGAGCACCAAUUCUUCCCUGUGCUAGCUUCUGCCCAGCCCAAAGAACUGACCAUCAUUUAAUGUAGUAUGCUAUAGGGUAAAGUUCUCAAGCUUUAGAGUGGAUCUGAAUUACCUGAAGAGACUUGAUUGCUGGGCCUCAGCCAUAGAAUUUCUGAUUUUGUCAGCUUGAGGAAUCUGAACUUUCUUGUUGUUGUUGUUGUUGUUUUUUCAGGAGACAAGGUCUCUCUCUCAGACUAGAGUGCAAUGGCAUGAUGACAACCCACUUCAGCCCCAAACUUCUGGGCUCAAGUGAUCCUUCUUUCUCAGCCUCCCAAGUAGCUGGGACUACAGGUUAUUUUAAUGUACAAGAUUCUUUUAGAGGAAGAUAAAAGCUCAGAGGAAGAUCAGGAAGGGAGAAAUGUCCACGGUCAUUGUAGGCAGAUGAGGAGUAUGCUGGAGAAAGUAGAAAUAUUGGAGACACCUGAAAACCACAGAGUCAAGGAAAAGGCAAAGCCCAGAUUAAAGGCUGCCUCCAACAGGAGCUUAGUCCCGUGGAGUACUGGAGCCAAUGCUGCCCAGAGUGUCAGCCACGUUAUUCUUCCCAAUGGUGAUGUCUAGGAUUUGCUGUCAUGGAUCAGGUAUCUGAUAUGUGCUAAGAGCAGCCAUAUACCCCGUGAAGUCCUUGCCCUCUUUUGACCCCUGCAGCAGUGGGUUCAUAUGAUUGAGUUUCUAUUUGGAGCCUCAUCCCGAAUAUCAGACCAUUUAUAUGGGAUCCUGAUGCUCCAGCUAGCCCCUAGUAGCUCAUCCCCUGAUGGGAUGGCUGGGUUUUGCUUUUUGUAGACUCAGGCACUGGUUGAGAACAUGAAUGGGUUGAUCACUGGUCAUGCGAUUACCACUCCCUAUCUGACUUUAUACAUGACCUCCAGUGCUUACUGCUGGAACCUCAAUGCCUUACAUUCUACCUGGAGCAUAGUAGAGAGUCAAUGAAUGAGUGAGUGAAGAAACAAACAUUGGAUUAUCAUGUCCACUCAAGGGAGAGAGCUUUUUUAGAUAGGACAGCUGUCUGGGCAAAACCUGAAUUACAUCAUCCUUUUAGAUUAUGAGUCUUGUGUUCUCCACUUGCCCCUAUGGGGCCCAUGUGCAGCUAAUUCAGUAUUCCCGCUUCUGGACUCAUGGGCAGGCAUGUACCUUACAUGGAUCUCCCAUUUUCUCUCCCCUUUGCCCAACAUGCUGCCCAUGCUGCCUACCUCCACUGCUUGACAGUGAGUAGAAAGACAGUCCCUGUCCACUUAUGUGGACUGUGAAGGCCAUUUCAAAAACCAACAAGUGUACCCUUCCUAAAUGGAUUCUAAAAAUGCUUUUUGAGGAGAAGGAAGGAGAAAUCUCUGGCUCAUGCUCAAGAUUUUGAAGGCAGAAUUAGACUUGGCAGUAAGAAAAAUUCAAUUCCAUUUAACAGAGAUUUAUUUAUUUUUAAAUUACUUUUAUAUGCCUGGAACCACAGGGAUGAAAGAGAGGAGUCAGUCAUGGACUCUGCUCUCUAGGGAUUAACAGUCUAGUGACUGGAGGAGACCCAAUAAUAAUGGAGGUAGGCACAGUAGUUCUAGUGUCAGACAGAUUUAGCAAGUGCUAUCGUGGGGUAAGAGCAGAACCUGUGGGGUUCAAUGGUUAUAUAUUUCUGGAAGACUGAGGAAAGGAGGAGUCCUGGAGUGCUGUAGUUUGUCCUUGGCGUCUUCUCACUUUUUUGGGGGGGGGGGGAUUCUCUCUUUUAAAUAAAAUGAAAUUUAAUUUAAUUUUU